rnacentral:rRNA from 1 species
AUACGGAGGAUGCGAGCGUUAUCCGGAUUUAUUGGGUUUAAAGGGUACGCAGGCGGGCGAUUAAGUCAGCGGUGAAAGGCUCGGGCUCAACCGGAGCAGUGCCGUUGAUACUGGUUGUCUUGAAUGCGGUCAAGGCCGGCGGAAUGUGGCGUGUAGCGGUGAAAUGCAUAGAUAUGCCACAGAACACCGAUAGCGAAGGCAGCUGGCCGGGCCUGCAUUGACGCUGAGGCACGAAAGCGUGGGGAUCGAACAGGAUUAGAUACCCUGGUAGUCCACGCUGUAAACGAUGGACACUCGUUGUCGGCGACAGACAGUCGGCGGCCAAGCGAAAGUGAUAAGUGUCCCACCUGGGGAGUACGGUCGCAAGGCUGAAACUCAAAUGAAUUGGCGGGG